rnacentral:rRNA from 1 species
GACGAACGCUGGCGGCGUGCUUAACACAUGCAAGUCGAACGGAAAGGCCCUGCUUUUGUGGGGUGCUCGAGUGGCGAACGGGUGAGUAACACGUGAGUAACCUGCCCUUGACUUUGGGAUAACUUCAGGAAACUGGGGCUAAUACCGGAUAGGAGCUCCUGCUGCAUGGUGGGGGUUGGAAAGUUUCGGCGGUUGGGGAUGGACUCGCGGCUUAUCAGCUUGUUGGUGGGGUAGUGGCUUACCAAGGCUUUGACGGGUAGCCGGCCUGAGAGGGUGACCGGCCACAUUGGGACUGAGAUACGGCCCAGACUCCUACGGGAGGCAGCAGUGGGGAAUAUUGCACAAUGGGCGGAAGCCUGAUGCAGCAACGCCGCGUGCGGGAUGACGGCCUUCGGGUUGUAAACCGCUUCCGCCUGUGACGAGGCGUGAGUGACGGUAAUGGGUAAAGAAGCACCGGCUAACUACGUG